rnacentral:lncRNA from 1 species
CCUCAGCCAAGAGGGGUGCCUCACACAUGCCCCUGCAUGGGAGGAGGUGGGCUCACUCUCCAGCAGACAGACAAACAGAAAUGGCCCCAGGGAACAGGUGAAGGUUCUGAGGUCUGGGGUUAUGCUCUCCUCUAAGCAAGGUGCUCCUGCCUCUCGUCUGACCUCAGGGCCUGCACUCGCCACUGAAACCCUCAGGGCCCUGGUGCUGCCCACCCACCCCCUUCAGGAGCACUCACAGGGCCAAAGCCACCUCCAGCGCCCAGGUGAUUGGGGUGCUGCUCUGGGUCGAACAUGUGGAUCUGGGAUUGGGGGAUCUGGCUGGUGGAGAGACGCCAGGGUUCCGAGAGCACCUGCAAUGGAGGCCGCAGCUGGUCAGAGGCCACAAAGCACCUGUCCAACACGUGUCUGCGACCUACUCUGAGCCAGACACGGUUCUGCUGAGGGUGCAGGAGCUCCCUGGCCACCACCCCGUGGUCCCCUG